rnacentral:rRNA from 1 species
GGGCCCGCACAAGCAGCGGAGCAUGUUGUUUAAUUCGAAGCAACGCGAAGAACCUUACCAUGUCUUGACAUCGAGGUAAAGCUGUAGAGAUACAGUGUGGAUUCGUCCGACCGAAGACAGGUGGUGCAUGGUUGUCGUCAGCUCGUGUCGUGAGAUGUUGGGUUAAGUCCCGCAACGAGCGCAACCCCUAUGGUCAGUUACUAACGGGUAAAGCCGAGGACUCUGACAAGACUGCCGGGGACAACUCGGAGGAAGGUGGGGACGACGUCAAAUCAUCAUGCCCCUUAUGACAUGGGCUACAAACGUGCUACAAUGGUGGUUACAAAGAGGAGCGAGCUCGUGAGGGUAAGCGGAUCUCAAAAAAGCCAUCUCAGUUCGGAUUGUGGGCUGCAACCCGCCCACAUGAAGUUGGAGUUGCUAGUAAUCGCGGAUCAGAAUGCCGCGGUGAAUACGUUCCCGGGCCUU